UAAAGAGUGCGUAAUAGCUCACUGGUCGAGUGAUCCCGCGCCGAAAAUGUAAUCGGGACUAAGCAUAGCACCGAAGGCACGGAUUCAGUAAUGAGUGGUAGGAGAGCGUUCUUUCUCGCGUUGAAGGCGGACCGUAAGGACUGCUGGAGCGGUAAGAAGUGAAGAUGCUGGCAUGAGUAGCGUUAGGGGAGUGAGAUUCUUCCCCACCGAUAGUCUAAGGUUUCCCCGGGAAGGCCAAUCCGCCGGGGGUUAGUCGGUCCCUAAGACGAGGCUUAGAAUGCGUAGUCGAUGGGAAGCAGGUUCAUAUUCCUGCACCGAAUGUAUUGUGCGAUGGAGUGACGCAGGAAGAUAGCUGGAGCGGGUGUGUUGGUAAUCCCCGUUGCAGGUGGUAAGCGUUGAGAGGGUUUGGAAAAUCCGGUCCUUGAGCUGAGAACUUGCAGGAUGUCCACAGUAGUGGGCCGUAGCCAGUGACUCUAGGCUGCCAAGAAAUAACUUCUAAGUUUAGGUGCAUUCGACCGUACCGCAAACCGACACAGGUAGACAAGUAGAGAAUACUAAGGUGUUCGAGAUAACUCUCGUUAAGGAACUCGGCAAAUUACUCCUGUAACUUCGGGAUAAAGGAGACCCAAGAUGUUUUAGCCCUGCGGCAAAAGAUAUCAAAGGUGGCACAGAAAUGGGGGUAGCGACUGUUUACCAAAAACACAGGACUCUGCUAACGCGGAAGCGGAAGUAUAGGGUCUGACACCUGCCCGGUGCCGGAAGGUCAAGAGGACGGGUUAGCAGCAAUGCGAAGCUCGGAAUUUAAGCCCCGGUAAACGGCGGCCGUAACUAUGACGGUCCUAAGGUAGCGAAAUUCCUUGUCGGGUAAGUUCCGACCUGCACGAAU
rnacentral:rRNA from 1 species